rnacentral:lncRNA from 1 species
CACUCAACUCAAAUUUAUAAUUUUAUAUUGUUUAGUCUUUUAAAGCUUAAUUAGGUUAUCAUCGCGCGAUGCCCAUUAUAUCAUUAUCGAGGAGAGGCAAAAUGGAUCCCCCCAUCGCAUGGAUAGCACACACACACAAAUCUUACAAUGGCUAUAGCAGGUAUGUUUGCUAGGUGACGCACACUCACAAAUACCUAUCCACAU